AACCCUUUGAUCUGAGAAGUUUAUUGAUAUGAGGUUGGGGACUUGAAGGAGGCCAUGUCGCAAGAAACCCUUUAAGCCUUUUACAGAACUCACUGCAUAAAUCUGUUGUGGUGCUUGAGAGAUCAAGUUGAAAAAAUGAAAAAAUAUAUUCAAUUUUAGACAUGCAAAACCAAUCUAUGUUCUUGCUACAUACACAUACACACAUAAAACUAAUAAUUGAGGGAUGGAGAACUAACCUGUAAUCUAAUCUGUAUGUUUCUACAUACACAAACAGCCAAAUAUACAUACACACAUAAAACUAAUAAUUAAGGGAUGAAGAAGUAACCUGUAAUCCAAUCUGUAUGUUUGUUACAUACACAAACAGCCAAAUACACAUACACACAUAAAACUAAUAAUUGAGGGAUGAAGAACUAACCUGUAAUCCAAUCUGUAUGUUUGCUACAUACACAAACAGCCAAAUACCACUAUCUGCUCCAUUCAUUUUUGCUCCAACCACCAAACACCACCAUUGACCAUCUUCCUGUUUGCAUCUGUUCUGUACCAUCACAUGCUCAACUACUCCACCAUUUUAGCAACAUAAACAACCGAGAACCAGAACAAAACCACCUACAUCUUCAAUCCAUCGUUCUUGAUAACUUCACAAAUGACCAAGGGACCAAAAUUUUGGUCAAGAAAUUACCCGAAUCCAAAUACCCUUCACUCAGGCAAUUAAUCGAACACUUGGUGGGCAGAUGGUUUCAUACACAAAAAAAUUAAAGAUUUUGGUCAAGAAAUUACCCGAAUCAAAUACCCUUCUUCCCUACCUGUUACAACUGUUACAACCGAGACACAAAUCCAACUAACAAUUCAAAAAGAUGAAGAAACAACAAAUGAUUUUAGAAAGAUGAAGAAAGAACAAACAAUUUUAAAAAAUCAUUAUGUGAUGUUGCAGAAAGAACAAACAAUUUUUAAAAGAACAAAUGAUCUAAUGUCGACUAACCUUUGCAGAAGCUGUCGACGAACCAAAAGUUGUCGCCGUCGAUUGAAGUUGUCGACGCGAUGCUCGGAAACGGAAGUUGUCGCCGGUUUACUUCAUUCGUUGAGUCGAGAGAGGGAACGCGAAUGAGAGAGGUAACAUGAUGAUCGGAAGAGAAGCUAAGGGUGCAAGAGAAGGACGGAGGAUAUAGGAGAAGCAGACAAAGCGGGAAUCCAAAAUUGGGUGAAACGGGAAUGAAAAUUUUGGAGGUCAGACUCGAAAUAUUUGUGGGAAAAGGAAGAGGAUAACCUAGAAAUAUUUGGGAAGCUAAAAAAACAAAAGGAGGCUAAAAAAAGAUGUGGUGUAACGGAUUCGAACACGAGUAUCUUAUGUAUAAUGUCAAGGUAUUUACCA
rnacentral:lncRNA from 1 species